rnacentral:tRNA from 1 species
GUGUCCGUAGCUCAGCUGGAUAGAGUACAGACCUCCGAAGUCUGCGGUCAGGAGUUCGAAUCCCCUCGGACACGCCA